UGGAACCAGACUGCUUGGGACUGAAAUCGGCAUUUGCCACUUACCAGUGGUCUGGAACCAAAGCCACAAUCUCUCUAAGAGACUGCAAGACCACAAAUUUUCUUCAACUUGAUAAUAUACUAGGAAAAUUACAGAGUAAUAUAACUGGGCAUCAAUAGAUUUGUUAAACAUUUGCAAUUAUGCAUAGAGCUUCAAUUACUCAAAGGAAAUGUAUCGACUUUUUUUCAGUACAGAGCUCUGGCUCCUUAUUUUUUCCUCUCACCAUAGUUUUAAAAAAUACAAAACUCAUGCUAAAAUGAGAAUUUUCAGUUAACUUAUAAACACUGACUAGUAGCACUCCAUACAAAUGAAAAAGAAUCACACCAUCAAACUUCCUACGAUAUUCUACGCAUUAAAAUUUGACAUCGAACUAAAAAAGAUUGCAUAAGACAACGAACAAAUCACUAAAUUGCCACAUAAUCCAGCAACAAAUUUUGCAACAAGGAAAUCUCAAGCAAAUAACCCAACUGUGAGUUCCCUUUGGGCAUCAAGGUCAAACUACAAAAGUAAAUUUGUGACUUUUCAAGAUCU
rnacentral:lncRNA from 10 species